AUAUUAGGGAUGUGAAUCUUACAACAACUCACGAUUCAAUUCGAUACCGAUUCUUGGGGUGGCAAUUCGAUUCAGAAUCAAUUUUCGAUUCAAACCAAUUCUCAAUUCACAAUCAAUACUCUUUGUAACAAAGGGUGCCAAUUACAGGAUUACCUACAUUCCUGUAAGCUUGAAAGAGCUCUGAGAAAUAAAUUAUGUCAAACCCAU